rnacentral:ncRNA from 1 species
AAAGAUACAGUGAAAAAGAUGAGUAGUGUUUAGCGAUAUCUGAAGAGAGUCCCGGUUGAUGAAAAGGGAUGGUAUUUCUGGCACGAAGAUGGUCUUGGAUUAUCUUUUAGUACCGAGCAGGGUGUGAAGUACUAACGGAUCCGCACGUUACCGCGGCAGAGUAUGAAACGUACUCGUGGAGAAGUCGCCUGUGAAGGCGAUUUAAAUCAAGGUGGUAACACGGCCAAGUCGUCCUUUAU